GAGGAUUAGGGCCCUCAUGCCUACGUAUCCUCAUAGUGCAAUGAGGAAUUUAGAGCUCCGUAGUUUGAAGAACUAGUGGUGGGAGAUGAAAAGAAGUUGUGAUAGGAAUAUGGUCUGAAUCAAAGAUUAUAUGAUUUGAACUCCAACAAGGGGUGAAAAUGUGAACCCAAGAGUAAAAAGGUAUGAACCAACAAGUGAGGGGUCUAAGACAUGAUAUCACUGUAUUGGAACAACCGAAAAGAAAGGGUUGCCUACACACGACUGCAAAGUAAGUAAGGAGAUGUUUG
rnacentral:lncRNA from 1 species